AGCGAACGCUGGCGGCAGGCCUAACACAUGCAAGUCGAACGAACUCUUCGGAGUUAGUGGCGGACGGGUGAGUAACACGUGGGAACGUGCCUUUAGGUUCGGAAUAACUCAGGGAAACUUGAGCUAAUACCGGAUGUGCCCUUCGGGGGAAAGAUUUAUCGCCUUUAGAGCGGCCCGCGUCUGAUUAGCUAGUUGGUGAGGUAAAGGCUCACCAAGGCGACGAUCAGUAGCUGGUCUGAGAGGCUGAUCAGCCACAUUGGGACUGAGACACGGCCCAAACUCCUACGGGAGGCAGCAGUGGGGAAUCUUGCGCAAUGGGCGAAAGCCUGACGCAGCCAUGCCGCGUGAAUGAUGAAGGUCUUAGGAUUGUAAAAUUCUUUCACCGGGGACGAUAAUGACGGUACCCGGAGAAGAAGCCCCGGCUAACUUCGUG
rnacentral:rRNA from 1 species